rnacentral:rRNA from 1 species
UGAGGAAUAUUGGGCAAUGCCCGCAAGGGUGACCCAGCAACGCCGCGUGGAGGAUGAAUGUCGUAAGAUUGUAAACUCCUGUUAGAGGGGAAGAAUAGUACCGGUUGGACCGGUAUAUGACUGUACCCUCAGAGAAAGCCCCGGCUAACUACGUGCCAGCAGCCGCGGUAAUACGUAGGGGGCAAGCGUUGUCCAGAUUUACUGGGUGUAAAGGGCGCGCAGGCGGGAUAAAAAGUCAGUGGUGAAAUCCUACAGCUUAACUGUAGAACUGCCUGUGAUACUUUUAUUCUUGAGUUCGGGAGAGAGAGACGGAAUUCCAGGUGUAGUGGUAAAAUACGUAGAUAUCUGGAAGAACACCAGUUGCGAAGGCGGUCUCUUGGUCCGACACUGACGCUGAGGCGCGAAAGCGUGGGGAGCAAACA